AUUGAACGCUGGCGGCAGGCCUAACACAUGCAAGUCGAGCGGAUGAAGGGAGCUUGCUCCUGGAUUCAGCGGCGGACGGGUGAGUAAUGCCUAGGAAUCUGCCUGGUAGUGGGGGAUAACGUCCGGAAACGGGCGCUAAUACCGCAUACGUCCUGAGGGAGAAAGUGGGGGAUCUUCGGACCUCACGCUAUCAGAUGAGCCUAGGUCGGAUUAGCUAGUUGGUGGGGUAAAGGCCUACCAAGGCGACGAUCCGUAACUGGUCUGAGAGGAUGAUCAGUCACACUGGAGCUGAGACACGGUCCAGACUCCUACGGGAGGCAGCAGUGGGGAAUAUUGGACAAUGGGCGAAAGCCUGAUCCAGCCAUGCCGCGUGUGUGAGGAAGGUCUUCGGAUUGUAAAGCACUUUAAGUUGGGAGGAAGGGCAGUAAGUUAAUACCUUGCUGUUUUGACGUUACCAACAGAAUAAGCACCGGCUAACUUCGUG
rnacentral:rRNA from 1 species